rnacentral:rRNA from 1 species
AGAUUGAACGCUGGCGGCAGGCCUAACACAUGCAAGUCGAGCGGCAGCACGGGUACUUGUACCUGGUGGCGAGCGGCGGACGGGUGAGUAAUGCCUAGGAAUCUGCCUGGUAGUGGGGGAUAACGCUCGGAAACGGACGCUAAUACCGCAUACGUCCUACGGGAGAAAGCAGGGGACCUUCGGGCCUUGCGCUAUCAGAUGAGCCUAGGUCGGAUUAGCUAGUUGGUGAGGUAAUGGCUCACCAAGGCGACGAUCCGUAACUGGUCUGAGAGGAUGAUCAGUCACACUGGAACUGAGACACGGUCCAGACUCCGUACGGGAGGCAGCAGUGGGGAAUAUUGGACAAGUGGGCGAAACGGCCUGAUCCAGCCAUGCCGCGUGUGUGAAGAGUCUUCGAUUGGUAAAGCGUACUUUAAGUUGGGAAGGAAGGCGAGUAACCUAAUACGUAUCUUGUUU